AACGAACGCUGGCGGCAUGCCUAACACAUGCAAGUCGAACGAGACCUUCGGGUCUAGUGGCGCACGGGUGCGUAACGCGUGGGAACCUGCCCUUAGGUUCGGAAUAACUCCCCGAAAGGGGUGCUAAUACCGGAUAAUGUCUUCGGACCAAAGAUUUAUCGCCUUUGGAUGGGCCCGCGUUGGAUUAGCUAGUUGGUAGGGUAAAAGCCUAUCAAGGCGACGAUCCAUAGCUGGUCUGAGAGGAUGAUCAGCCACACUGAGACUGAGACACGGCCCAGACUCCUACGGGAGGCAGCAGUGGGGAAUAUUGGACAAUGGGCGAAAGCCUGAUCCAGCAAUGCCGCGUGAGUGAUGAAGGCCUUAGGGUUGUAAAGCUCUUUUACCCGGGAUGAUAAUGACAGUACCGGGAGAAUAAGCUCCGGCUAACUCCGUG
rnacentral:rRNA from 1 species